CCAGCUUGGUGAGAUUUAGAGAACGUGUGUUGUGCCCUUAAACCUGUCUAAGUCUACAAUAUUCAUUAGUGGGCGUGGCUUGUGUAUGCACGUGACACUAUCUUCCUCAAAGCUGUUGAUGUGUAACGAACGCAUCGCUGUCUCGGCUGUUAUUGCGCGAUACGAUGUUUCCCUCACAAUCUGCACAUCAGAAACCCUGAAAAGAUUCCAGGGAGUAGAUUCACAUGGUGUCCCAGAAGAAGAGUUAUCAUGCUUGUGAUAUAAAUAUAUAAAAUAAAAUCCAAAUGGUCCCUAGAACAAUGUUUAUUAAUCAGACCCAUGGCUCAGGCAAUUAGCUAUAUAUAGGACUUGCCAAAUCAUUCUAGACUUGAGUUGGCUCCCUUUCUCCAUUUAUUCUAAUGUAUCUGAGAGACAGAGGUUCAGGAAUGUGCAAUCUUCUUUCUGGAUAAAAAUAACCAUAUGACCAGAUUCUGAGACACUUUCAUCCAUUCUGUACUGCUUAACUGUGGUCCUCAAUAUAUAACGAAAAUAAAGUAAAAAGUAUGAAAUACAAUUCCAUGUAUUAAAGUGACACAACUUUUAUCUCCAAACAAUACAUGUAUAUGAUAUGAUGCCCUAUUUGUAUAAAAAUCUGUUCGGAAUUUAUUUUUCAAAUUCAAUAUACAUCUAUGAAUUACCAUUUGGCAAAUAAUAAAAUAAGAUAAAAUACAUGAUCAGUGAUGAUAUUUUCCAUUAUUCCAGAUAAUACAAGCUGAGCAUCUAAUUGGAUCUAAUUAGACAUGAGCUUAUGCAGUUUAAUGUUACUCAAGAUGGAAGAUCUGUCGAAAAGUAUGAACAACAUGAAAUUAAAAAAACCCAGCAAAAAUUGGUGGCUUCCUUGGCGCAUCAAUGGAAACCCUUAAAGCUACAGAAGGUCUAAAGUCUACAAUGCUGGGGUGGCCCCUUCCUGGACCCCCAGACAGUCAUGGGCUGUUGCAUAGGCCCCUCCUGAUCCCUUUGACCAUGCACAGCCCCAUCUAGACUGAAAAAUUUCAUUCACUCUCUUUCCCAUUUCAGACAAAAUGGGCGACUUCCUCGGCGUGUCAAGGAGACAGUCAGUGUGCACCUCAGAGGUUCAGCCAGCUUACCAGGUGAGCUUCAAACAGCCCAAGGCAUCCUAGGGAACUGGUCAAAAAUCAAAUCCACCUUCUUUUUCUCUCAGUCUUUUUUUAAAGAGCUUGUGUAGACUUAACUUGAGAGCAGAAUAUUAAUGCUAUGGGUCAAUAUUUAUAAUUUUAAGAGAUUUUUGACUAUAUUAUUACUCAUGUCCCCUCGACCAGAAAUGG